AAGUCGUAACAAGGUAACCGUAGGUGAACCUGCGGUUGGAUCAUUAACAAAUCCAAUUUUGCGCUUCUUAGCGCAUCCAACAUUUUGUGCACUGUAAUUGUCUUUGGCGGGUUGUGUUGCUUGCUUGAGAUGGGGAAAUUUCCUCAGCUCACAAGACGUCUGUCGUAUACCAAACAUGGUGACAGCCAGCCCGUCCGUCACUCCUACACCAAGGUUUGGCAACAACUAAACGCAAUGAAUUUUUUUUUCUAUAUCUUAAUCCUUUCCACGAAAGCGGAAUUGUAUAUGAUAAUUAAAAACAACUUUUGACAACGGAUCUCUUGGCUCUU
rnacentral:misc_RNA from 1 species